rnacentral:tRNA from 1 species
GAGGGUAUAGCUUGAUGGUAGAACACUUAUCUAGCAUGCAUGAGGCCCUGGGUUCAAGUCCCAAUACCUUCA